GGGCAACCUGCCCAAAAGAGGGGGAUAACACUUGGAAACAGGUGCUAAUACCGCAUAACCAUAGUUACCGCAUGGUAACUAUGUAAAAGGUGGCUAUGCUACCGCUUUUGGAUGGGCCCGCGGCGCAUUAGCUAGUUGGUGGGGUAAAGGCUUACCAAGGCAAUGAUGCGUAGCCGAACUGAGAGGUUGAUCGGCCACAUUGGGACUGAGACACGGCCCAAACUCCUACGGGAGGCAGCAGUAGGGAAUCUUCCACAAUGGGCGAAAGCCUGAUGGAGCAACGCCGCGUGGGUGAAGAAGGUCUUCGGAUCGUAAAACCCUGUUGUUAGAGAAGAAAGUGCGUGAGAGUAACUGUUCACGUUUCGACGGUAUCUAACCAGAAAGCCACGGCUAACUACGUGCCAGCAGCCGCGGUAAUACGUAGGUGGCAAGCGUUAUCCGGAUUUAUUGGGCGUAAAGGGAACGCAGGCGGUCUUUUAAGUCUGAUGUGAAAGCCUUCGGCUUAACCGGAGUAGUGCAUUGGAAACUGGGAGACUUGAGUGCAGAAGAGGAGAGUGGAACUCCAUGUGUAGCGGUGAAAUGCGCAGAUAUAUGGAAGAACACCAGUGGCGAAAGCGGCUCUCUGGUCUGUAACUGACGC
rnacentral:rRNA from 1 species